CUGGUAUAAAUACACUACCACUUAUUCAUUUACUUUAAUUCAUUUGGGCCCAUUUGUCACUUACCAUCCUUAAUCAAAUUAGGGAACGGUUACGGAAAAUUGAGUACUUCACUUUCACUUUGCCAUAGUAUAACUAUGGUCUUACGUAUGAUCACUUAUCACUUUGUCCCUGAUCAGAUAAGUGUAGCCACUUAUCACUUUGUUUCUUGAUCAGAUAAGUGUAGCCACUUAUUACUUUGUCUCUUGAUCAGAUAAGUGUAGCUAAAGCUAUCACUUAUCACUUUUCACUUGUCACUUGAUCAGAUAAGUGUAGCCGAAGCUAUCACUUAUCACUUUGUCUCUUGAUCAGAUAAGUAUAGCCGAAGCUAUCACUUAUCACUUUCCACUUGUCACUUGAUCAGAUAAGUGUAGCCGAAGCUAUCACUUAUCACUUUCCACUUGUCACUUGAUCAGAUAAGUGUAGCCGAAGCUAUCACCUAUCACUUUGUCACUUGAUCAGAAGUACUCAAAUCCGGCGUUCCGCUCAAUUUGAUCAUUUAUUCAAUUUUCGCAUUUUUAUUUUACUCUCUUUUCAACACUAAAUACAUUUCAUCAUACACUAUAUAAUUCAUGAAAUUAACAUUUAAUCAUUAAAUUUCAGUCAUAUGAACUUACUAUUUCAUUAUCUUACCACACUUGUUUCCUAUACACAUCACACAAGAUAUAAACAUAGCAUUCAACCAUAGUCACAAGCUAGUAUAUUUAAACAUAACUCUUUUUUGGAACUAACCACAUGAUAAACCAUUCAUGAAAUUAUUUCAUGCCAAAUCAUAUACCGAAUAUACGAUACACACAUACUAUGAAACUUUAUUUUCACACAUGAGCUUAAACCAAAACCAAUAAUGCACAAAUAUAAGCAUUAUUUCUAUUUCAUCGUUUAUCAAUUAUAAUCAAGUAUAUGACCAAUUAUACACAAAUCAUUCAUAUACUUCUCAAUUUUCCUCCUCCUCCUCUCCAUUCCACAUCCUUAAUGUGUAUAACACACUUAAACAACAUUAGCUAUAANNNNNNNNNNNNNNNNNNNNNNNNNNNNNNNNNNNNNNNNNNNNNNNNNNNNNNNNNNNNNNNNNNNNNNNNNNNNNNNNNNNNNNNNNNNNNNNNNNNNGUAUAUUCAAAGCUGUUUAUCCGAGUCAGAGUCACUAAAUUAUUUUUAUCCGGAGAUACAGAGCUCCAAAUUAAGAUCCGUUAAUUUUACCUAAAACUAGACUCACAUACCUUCUUACCAUAAAAUUUUCAGAAUUUUUGGUUCAGCCAAAUAGUACAGUUUAUUCUUUAAAGUUUCCCCUGUUUUGCUGUCUGACAGUUCCGACCACUCUUCACUAAAAAUUAAUUAUCUCAUUGUACAGAAUUUGGAUGAUGUUUUAGUUUGUUUCUUAUAAAAAUAGACUCAUUAAGGAUUCUAACCAUAUAAAUUAUAACUCAUAAUCAUUUUUGUACAAUUUUUAAUGAUUUUCCAAAUUCAGAACAGGGGAACCCGAAUUCAUUCUGACCUUGUCUCACAAAAUCUAUUAUAUCUCAUGAUUUACAAUUUCAUUACUUACACCGUUUCUUCUAUGAGAAACUAGACUUAAUAAGCUUUAAUUUCAUAUUUUAUUCACCCUCUAAUUCAAUUCCCACAAUUUUUGGUGAUUUUUCAAAGUCAGACCACUGCUGCUGCCCAAAACUGUUUAGUGUAAUAUAUUGAUUACCAAUUUGACUCUAAACUUUUAAUACAUGAUAAUUUCGUCCCUAGGCUUGGAAAAUGAAAUUCUUGCAAUAUAAUCCUUAAUUCAAGCCUAGUAUUUCUCAUACAUAUCAAUAACAGCCCAUAGAUUCCAUGAAAUUUUAGAAUUUAUCCAUGAUUUCAAUACUUUUCAAUUUAAUCCCUAAAACAUGUUUUCAUCUAAAAUUCUUUAAUAAAACACCUUUAAACAUCCAUUAACAUAUCAAUUUCAUCAAAAAAUAACAACAAUCAUAUGAACUUAUCAUUAGUAUCUUCCAAAACUUUCAACAAAAUGAGAAACUAGUAGAAUACUAAGUUGGACCUAAUUGUAAAAAUCUAAAAAUAUAAAAAUUUCAAGGACAAAGCAAGAAUUAAACUUACGUGAAGCCAAAAUAUGGAAUACCAGCUCCAAACCCUCUUCCAUGGCUGUCUCCCACCGAAAUUUCAAGAAGAAAUGGUCUUGAAAUGCUUAAAAUAAAAUUUGGCCACAUAAACUUUAUUGUAAUUCCAAUUUUGUCCUUAAUACAUAAAA
rnacentral:lncRNA from 1 species